GGUGAAAUCUGAGAAUGUCUGCUGUGUGGAAACUUUCUCCCGUGAAGGUCUCGGGGCAAUUCUUCUUCCUGCCCUGAGAGAGGGAAAUAGCAACAUCAGCAGCAUUGGAAUUUGGGCAGCCCCGGAGUUAAAGUCCGGCUCUGUCACUGUUCCAGCUGUGUGAUCUUGGGAAAUUGCCAUAAAACAGCAGCACACCUAGUUCUUCAGUCCCUGGGGCCCAAAUAAACCAAACCACAGGAAAUUCAAUAUCAGGGAUCACACAGUCCCUGAGAUUGUCUCUGGCGAUUCUCUCACUCACAGACGCAAGCUAAAGAGAUCAAGUGACGUGCUCAAGUCACUGGCCGGUUGGCAGCGCAGCCAGGAAGAGCAUCCUUUCGAGAGCACUUUGUACGCCUGGAGCCACAGAAAGCUCACCUGACGUGGAUCGGGUGACGCUGGAAUUUAUUAUCUCAUUAACAAAAGGGCAUCUGAGCCAGGGCUGGUUAAUUUAUGUAAGUAACAUCUUCUCACCCUAAUUGGGUUCUGCCAUCCAGGAUGCCAGCUUUGUCCUCAGGCCAGCCCCGUCAUGGUGACACAUUCAAGAUGUCACCUCCACUCACAGCUAUGCCCAUAGGAAGAAGAGUCAUCCACGAUCAUUAUGCAAAAAAGCCACAGAAUAUUGAUGCUUAACUGAAGGGCAUCAUGAGGGCAUUGGAACGGACUGCACGAAGCUAGAGGGGCCGCUUGAAUCUUGAGAGCUCAGCCUAACCUUAACCCACCCUACAUGCUCAUGGAACACCUCUUAACGAUAGAGGGCCCAGGAUUUAGAUAAGAGCAGCUUUAAAGGAAAACGAAGGAAGCCAAUACAGACCGUCUCUAAGCCAAACUCAGUAAAAUGUAUGAAACAAGCACAUCAGGAAAAGUUAGCAGGACCCAUCUCCAGGGAUGGGGUAGAGGGAAUGCCUUGGUUUCCACGGGACGGCGCUUUCCCACCCUUUAAAGACAACAUAUUGUUACCCAGACAAAGACUGAGCAGUUUAUCCUAAUGUCG
rnacentral:lncRNA from 1 species